UUGAAAAUAUGAAGUUAACUUUUUAGGAAUUGCUGAAAAGCAUAAGCUUUGCCCUGCUAGGUUGAGGCUUGAGAGAUUUAUUACUUACGAAUCAUAGGGUUUUCAAGAGGCAGCUAAAAAGCUCCAAGAUAUGUUGAACUUCUUGUCAUUUGGAUAAGCUGCUAUAGUGGAAUGGCAAGAUUAUUUCAAUGACAAGUUCUAUUUAACCAAAAUUUAUGGGAUGGAUUAUCUUUCUAACUUCUUUUUAAAUAUAGGGAUUUUAAAGGGGCUUCCCUUGAUGAUAUUCAAAGAGAUUAGAAAGCAUUACUUCAUUUAUCUUUUCUUUUUCUUUUAAAUGCAUUUUAAAUAUCCUCCUUGUAAUUAUUAUGCCCCUUCUUUCUGUUAGUAAAUUCUACUUCAAUCCACACACAACUAGAGCAAUAAAAAAAAAUUUUUUUAAAAAGAGUGAAGGUGUUAGGAAACAUUCACAAUUGGUUCAUCAACAAUAUAUUCCCCCAAAAGUAUCUAGAAUUUAUUAAAG
rnacentral:misc_RNA from 1 species